UACGAAGGGUGCAAGCGUUACUCGGAAUUACUGGGCGUAAAGCGUGCGUAGGUGGUUGUUUAAGUCUGUCGUGAAAGCCCUGGGCUCAACCUGGGAAUUGCGAUGGAUACUGGGCGACUAGAGUGUGGUAGAGGAUAGUGGAAUUUCCGGUGUAGCAGUGAAAUGCGUAGAGAUCGGAAGGAACAUCUGUGGCGAAGGCGACUAUCUGGGCCAACACUGACACUGAGGCACGAAAGCGUGGGGAGCAAACAGG
rnacentral:rRNA from 2 species